rnacentral:lncRNA from 1 species
GUGCCGGGUGCACCUCGCGAGCUAGCUGCCGCCCCGCCUGUGUCGCGGUCGUACCCUCCGCCCUCUGCGCCGAGAGCCGCUGCCGCCCGAGACCUUCGAGGGCUCCUCGCCCCUGCUUCCUGGGAGACCCUCUCCGCUGGGAGAGUCGCAGUCACGGAGCCGGGGGACACCUGUACGGGCAGGCGGCCGGCGAAGGCCCGGCCCGAGAGGAAGCGGGCCCCGAACGCCGCAACUGCCUGGGAAGCGGCUUUGCGUGUGCGCGGCGAGAGUAGCGGGGCCAUUGCCGGGCGUCUCAGGCGCCCGGGGCACCUCCGCCCUUCUUCCUGCCGCAGCUUCCUCGCGGCACUGGGAAGGGCGGCGGGAACGCAGGCGCUGCGCCGGGCGAAGGCCGCGGCCCUGCUCUCAUCCUCAGCAGUUGGGAGGCUGGGGCUGGGCUACACCGACCCGAGCGGGGGCCGGGCGCGGGCCAGGCUCCUCCCUCAUCUCCGGCUCCGUGGGCCGCGUGGCUGCCCCUUGGCAGGCUCUGCGGGGUCCCUGUCCCUGCCUGGGUAGUGUGCGCCCUUACCCUCCCGCCCCGCUUCAGGCCCUGCAGUUGAGAACACGGCGCCCUCGCCCCAGCCUGGUCCUCGCUCUAGAUCCCGACCCUGACGCAGCCUGGGGAAGCCUACAAAGCCCCUCUCAAAAUAUUUUUAGAUGAAUAAAAUAACAAGAUUAGGAAGGAAGGCUACUAUGCCGGGCGUGGUGGAGCACAUCUGAGGGCCCAGCUACUCGGGAGCUGAGGCAGGAGGAUCCCUUAAGCCUGGGAAGUCAAGGCUGCAGUGAGCCGAGAUGGGUGCCACUUCACUCCAGCCUAGGCGACAGAGUGAGACUUGCAGAAGGAAAGAGAGAAAAGAAAUACAGUAACAGUUAAUAAAAUUCUUAACACACAUGUAAUAAUGUAUUUUACUCACACAUUAAAUAACAAGACUAAAGUUGC